rnacentral:rRNA from 1 species
GUAAAUAAUUAAGGGCGUAUGGUGGAUGCCUAGGCUCUCAGAGGCGAAGAAGGACGUGAUAAGCUGCGAAAAGCUCCGUUUAGGUGCAAAUAACCUUUGAUGCGGAGAUCUCCGAAUGGGAUAACCCAAUAUGUUGAAGACAUAUUAUACCGUAAGGUAGGCAAACGCAGGGAACUGAAACAUCUAAGUACCUGCAGGAGAAGAAAACAAACGUGAUUCCCCCAGUAGCGGCGAGCGACCGGGGAUAAGCCCAAACCGUUAUUGUUUCGGCAGUAGCGGGGUAGUAGGACUGCGACAUUGAUGAAAUAAAUGAAAUGGAACACCUUGGAAAAUGUGAUCACAGAGGGUGAUAAUCCCGUACAUGCAAGUUUACGAAUCAUAGCAGUAUCCUGAGUAAGUCGGGACACGUGUAAUCCUGACCGAAUCCGCCGGGACCAUCCGGCAAGGCUAAAUACUCCUGAGAGACCGAUAGUGAACCAGUACCGUGAGGGAAAGGUGAAAAGCACUUCGAACAGAAGAGUGAAAUAGUCCCUGAACCCAUACGCCUACAAGCAGUCGGAGCCGCUUCGUGCGGUGACGGCGUGCCUUUUGCAUAAUGAGCCUACGAGUUACUCAUCACCAGCGAGGUUAAGUACUUCAGGUACGUAAGCCGAAGCGAAAGCGAGUCUGAAUAGGGCGUCAAGUUGGUGGUGGUAGACGCGAAACCUUAGUGAUCUACCCAUGGGCAGGGUGAAGGUUUGGUAACACAAACUGGAGGCCCGAACCGGUAAACGUUGAAAAGUUUUCGGAUGACCUGUGGGUAGGGGUGAAAGGCCAAUCAAACUGGGAAAUAGCUCGUACUCUCCGAAAUGCAUUUAGGUGCAGCCUCUGUUGUUUUGUUCUAGAGGUAGAGCUACUGAUUGGAUGCGAGGGCUUCACCGCCUAUCAAAUCCGGCCAAACUCCGAAUGCUAGAACAUAAAGACAGGGAGUGAGCCAGCGGGUGCUAAGGUCCGUUGACGAAAGAGGGAGAACUCAGACCAUCAGCUAAGGUCCCCAAUUGUAUGCUAAGUUGGAAUUAAAACGGGGUGGGACUGCUUAGACAGCUAGGAUGUUGGCUUGGAAGCAGCCAUUCAUUUAAAGAGUGCGUAACAGCUCACUAGUCGAGCGGUCCUGCAUGGAUAAUACGCGGGCAUAAGCAUAUAACCGAAGCUAUGGGAUUGUAGAUGAUACAAUCGGUAGGAGAGCAUUCCAUUCAGCAUAGAAGCAGUACCGUGAGGUAUUGUGGAGCGGAUGGAAAAGCAAAUGUAGGCAUAAGUAACGAUAAUGCGGGUGAGAACCCCGCACGCCGAAAGAUCAAGGAUUCCCCGGCAAUGUCAAUCAUCCGGGGGUAAGUCGGAUCCUAAGGGUAAGCCGAGUGGCGAUCCCGAUGGCAAACAGGUUAAUAUUCCUGUACUGAUCAUAACUGCGAUGCAGCGACGCAGAGGUGACACUGCUGCGUACUGACGGAAUAGUACGUUGAAACCCGUAUUCUUUGAUACCGGUAGUGAAGCACGCCGGUAGAGAUGAAAGGUGAUAGUACCGCAAUGCUUCGGUUGCGCGGAUAAUGCAGGUAAGCUGACUGCCAAGAAAACCUGCUAAGCUUCAGGUAAUGAUCAUCCGUACUGUAAACGGACACACGUGAUCAGGUAGAAAAUACUAAGGCGCUCGAGAGAUUCAUGGUUAAGGAACUAGGCAAAAUGGUCCUGUAACUUCGGGAUAAAGGACGCUCUUGUGAAAGAGCCGCAGAUAAUAGGCCCAGGCGACUGUUUACCAAAAACACAUGGCUAUGCUAAUUCGCAAGAAGAUGUAUAUGGCCUGACACCUGCCCGGUGCCGGAAGGUUAAGAGGAGAGCUCAGAGGUAACUCGAAGGUUUGAAUUGAAGCCCCGGUAAACGGCGGCCGUAACUAUAACGGUCCUAAGGUAGCGAAAUUCCUUGUCGGGU